UAUAAAGUGGGACGAAAACUGAUUUAAUAAGUAUCAUUUCACAAUGUUUAAUACUCACAGCAAUAACGUUUUGGCGAAAGAAAAAAUAUCUCCUGGUGGUCUGAGCACUACACUACUAUUCACAAAAGCCACUGUCGAUGUUAUGCCUGAUUUUGUGGUCACUUAGGAUAUUUGAGUCCGAGAUGCAAUUUCUUAUGGCGGCAGAAAAAUAUUGAAAUCACACUGAGUUCAUUUGUAACAAAUUUCUGUAGACUCUGAAUGCAACUAAGUAACUUUGAGGUGUUGUCUUGAAAGCGCUGGCUGAACGAUGUUAUUUCAUAUCAUGAAAAGAAAAAUCACUUAUCACAAACUCAUCGUAAACAUAAGCAAAACCAAUAUUUACAUAUCAGGCUUCGGUCAUAGAAAAGAAGUUUUGAUUGUCUAUCCAUGAAAACGAAUCAUACGUUUUUAAUUCAUAUUUGACUAAACUUAUAUGACGCUUAUUUAGCUUUAGCUAUCAUCUGUUUAAUGUCUUUGAUCGCUACAUAUCCAAUAUCUUUAUAAAUCCGAAGUAAAGCAUUUAGCUUUCUUUUCGGUUACUACAAUUAGAAAUAGACAAUGUUUGAAAAUAUAUCAGUGUUAUCGCA